UUAAGCGACUAAGCGUACACGGUGGAUGCCCUGGCAGUCAGAGGCGAUGAAGGACGUGCUAAUCUGCGAAAAGCGCCGGCGAGGUGAUAUGAACCUUUGACCCGGCGAUGUCCGAAUGGGGGAAACCCAGUGCAAUUCGUUGCACUAUCGUUAACUGAAUACAUAGGUUAACGAGGCGAACCGGGGGAACUGAAACAUCUAAGUACCCCGAGGAAAAGAAAUCAACCGAGAUUCCCCCAGUAGCGGCGAGCGAACGGGGAGCAGCCCAGAGUCUGAAUCAGCUUGUGUGUUAGUGGAACGGUCUGGAAAGUCCGGCGAUACAGGGUGACAGCCCCGUACACGAAAGCACACAGGUUGUGAACUCGAAGAGUAGGGCGGGACACGUGGUAUCCUGUCUGAAUAUGGGGGGACCAUCCUCCAAGGCUAAAUACUCCUGACUGACCGAUAGUGAACCAGUACCGUGAGGGAAAGGCGAAAAGAACCCCGGCGAGGGGAGUGAAAAAGAACCUGAAACCGUGUACGUACAAGCAGUGGGAGCACCUUCGUGGUGUGACUGCGUACCUUUUGUAUAAUGGGUCAGCGACUUAUAUUCUGUAGCAAGGUUAACCGUAUAGGGGAGCCGAAGGGAAACCGAGUCUUAACUGGGCGUUAAGUUGCAGGGUAUAGACCCGAAACCCGGUGAUCUAGCCAUGGGCAGGUUGAAGGUUGGGUAACACUAACUGGAGGACCGAACCGACUAAUGUUGAAAAAUUAGCGGAUGACUUGUGGCUGGGGGUGAAAGGCCAAUCAAACCGGGAGAUAGCUGGUUCUCCCCGAAAGCUAUUUAGGUAGCGCCUCGUGAACUCAUCUUCGGGGGUAGAGCACUGUUUCGGCUAGGGGGCCAUCCCGGCUUACCAACCCGAUGCAAACUACGAAUACCGAAGAAUGUUAUCACGGGAGACACACGGCGGGUGCUAACGUCCGUCGUGAAGAGGGAAACAACCCAGACCGCCAGCUAAGGUCCCAAAGUCAUGGUUAAGUGGGAAACGAUGUGGGAAGGCACAGACAGCCAGGAUGUUGGCUUAGAAGCAGCCAUCAUUUAAAGAAAGCGUAAUAGCUCACUGGUCGAGUCGGCCUGCGCGGAAGAUGUAACGGGGCUAAACCAUGCACCGAAGCUGCGGCAGCGACGCUUAGGCGUUGUUGGGUAGGGGAGCGUUCUGUAAGCCGUUGAAGGUGUGCUGUGAGGCAUGCUGGAGGUAUCAGAAGUGCGAAUGCUGACAUAAGUAACGAUAAAGCGGGUGAAAAGCCCGCUCGCCGGAAGACCAAGGGUUCCUGUCCAACGUUAAUCGGGGCAGGGUGAGUCGACCCCUAAGGCGAGGCCGAAAGGCGUAGUCGAUGGGAAACAGGUUAAUAUUCCUGUACUUGGUGUUACUGCGAAGGGGGGACGGAGAAGGCUAUGUUAGCCGGGCGACGGUUGUCCCGGUUUAAGCAUGUAGGCGGAACGAUUCAGGUAAAUCCGGUCGUUUAUUAACGCUGAGGUGUGAUGACGAGGCACUACGGUGCUGAAGUAACAAAUGCCCUGCUUCCAGGAAAAGCCUCUAAGCAUCAGGUAACAUCAAAUCGUACCCCAAACCGACACAGGUGGUCAGGUAGAGAAUACCAAGGCGCUUGAGAGAACUCGGGUGAAGGAACUAGGCAAAAUGGUGCCGUAACUUCGGGAGAAGGCACGCUGAUAUGUAGGUGAAGCCCCUGCGGGUGGAGCUGAAAUCAGUCGAAGAUACCAGCUGGCUGCAACUGUUUAUUAAAAACACAGCACUGUGCAAACACGAAAGUGGACGUAUACGGUGUGACGCCUGCCCGGUGCCGGAAGGUUAAUUGAUGGGGUUAGCGGCAACGCGAAGCUCUUGAUCGAAGCCCCGGUAAACGGCGGCCGUAACUAUAACGGUCCUAAGGUAGCGAAAUUCCUUGUCGGGUAAGUUCCGACCUGCACGAAUGGCGUAAUGAUGGCCAGGCUGUCUCCACCCGAGACUCAGUGAAAUUGAACUCGCUGUGAAGAUGCAGUGUACCCGCGGCAAGACGGAAAGACCCCGUGAACCUUUACUAUAGCUUGACACUGAACACUGGUCCUUGAUGUGUAGGAUAGGUGGGAGGCUUUGAAGCGUGGACGCCAGUCUGCGUGGAGCCAACCUUGAAAUACCACCCUUUAAUGGCUGGUGUUCUAACGUAGACCCGUAGAUCCGGGUUGCGGACAGUGUCUGGUGGGUAGUUUGACUGGGGCGGUCUCCUCCCAAAGAGUAACGGAGGAGCACGAAGGUUAGCUAAUCCUGGUCGGACAUCAGGAGGUUAGUGCAAUGGCAUAAGCUAGCUUGACUGCGAGAGUGACGGCUCGAGCAGGUGCGAAAGCAGGUCAUAGUGAUCCGGUGGUUCUGAAUGGAAGGGCCAUCGCUCAACGGAUAAAAGGUACUCCGGGGAUAACAGGCUGAUACCGCCCAAGAGUUCAUAUCGACGGCGGUGUUUGGCACCUCGAUGUCGGCUCCAUCACAUCCUGGGGCUGAAGUAGGUCCCAAGGGUAUGGCUGUUCGCCAUUUAAAGUGGUACGCGAGCUGGGUUUAGAACGUCGUGAGACAGUUCGGUCCCUAUCUGCCGUGGGCGCUGGGAGAAUUGAGGGGGGCUGCUCCUAGUACGAGAGGACCGGAGUGGACGCAUCACUGGUGUUCGGGUUGUCAUGCCAAUGGCACUGCCCGGUAGCUAAAUGCGGAAAAGAUAAGUGCUGAAAGCAUCUAAGCACGAAACUUGCCCCGAGAUGAGUUCUCCCUGACCCUUUAAGGGUCCUGAAGGAACGUUGAAGACUACGACGUUGAUAGGUCGGGUGUGUAAGCGCAGCGAUGCGUUGAGCUAACCGAUACUAAUGAACCGUGAGGCUUAACCUU
rnacentral:rRNA from 1 species